rnacentral:rRNA from 1 species
CGGGAAUUCGAUUCAGGCCUAACACAUGCAAGUCGAACGGCAGCACGGGUGCUUGCACCUGGUGGCGAGUGGCGAACGGGUGAGUAAUACAUCGGAACGUACCUUAUCGUGGGGGAUAACGCAGCGAAAGCUGUGCUAAUACCGCAUACGCCCCGAGGGGGAAAGCGGGGGAUCGCAAGACCUCGCGCGAUUAGAGCAGCCGAUGCCUGAUUAGCUAGUUGGUGGGGUAAAAGCCCACCAAGGCGACGAUCAGUAGCUGGUCUGAGAGGACGAUCAGCCACACUUUUUUGGGGACACGGCCCAGACUCCUACGGGAGGCAGCAGUGGGGAAUUUU